rnacentral:rRNA from 1 species
CAGGCCUAACACAUGCAAGUCGGACGGGAUUAGGGAGCUUGCUCCUUAUGAGAGUGGCGCACGGGUGCGUAACACGUAUGUAACCUACCUUGUUCAGGGGGAUAGCCUCUCGAAAGAGAGAUUAAGACCGCAUAACGUAGUUGAUUGGCAUCAAUUUACUACCAAAUAUUUAUAGGAACAAGAUGGGCAUGCGGAACAUUAGCUAGUUGGUGAGGUAACGGCUCACCAAGGCUACGAUGUUUAGGGGAUCUGAGAGGAUUACCCCCCACACUGGUACUGAGACACGGACCAGACUCCUACGGGAGGCAGCAGUAAGGAAUAUUGGUCAAUGGACGGAAGUCUGAACCAGCCAUGCCGCGUGCAGGAAGACGGCCCUACGGGUUGUAAACUGCUUUUAUACGGGAAUAAACCUACUUACGUGUAAGUAGCUGAAUGUACUGUAAGAAUAAGGAUCGGCUAACUCCGUGCCAGCAGCCGCGGUAAU